GUAAUACUCCCUCCGAUCCUAAAUUCUUGUCUCAAAUUUGCCCGAAUAUGGAUGUAUCUAUUCUUAAAAAGUGUCUAGAUACAUGUAAUAUUCCGACAACAAUUUAGGAUCGGAGGGAGUACUUC
rnacentral:pre_miRNA from 1 species